rnacentral:rRNA from 1 species
GACGAACGCUGGCGGCGUGCUUAACACAUGCAAGUCGAACGGUAAGGCCCUUCGGGGUACACGAGUGGCGAACGGGUGAGUAACACGUGGGUGAUCUGCCCUGCACUUCGGGAUAAGCCUGGGAAACUGGGUCUAAUACCGGAUAGGACUCCUGGCUUCAUGGUUGGGGGUGGAAAGCUUUUGCGGUGUGGGAUGGGCCCGCGGCCUAUCAGCUUGUUGGUGGGGUAAUGGCCUACCAAGGCGACGACGGGUAGCCGGCCUGAGAGGGUGACCGGUCACACUGGGACUGAGAUACGGCCCAGACUCCUACGGGAGGCAGCAGUGGGGAAUAUUGCACAAUGGGCGCAAGCCUGAUGCAGCGACGCCGCGUGAGGGAUGACGGCCUUCGGGUUGUAAACCUCUUUCGUCCGGGACGAUAAUGACGGUACCGGAAGAAGAAGCCCCGGCUAACUUCGUGCCAGCAGCCGCCGUAA